GGGGAAUAUUGGACAAUGGGCGCAAGCCUGAUCCAGCCAUGCCGCGUGAGUGACGAAGGCCUUAGGGUUGUAAAGCUCUUUUGGCGGGGAAGAUAAUGACGGUACCCGCAGAAUAAGCUCCGGCUAACUUCGUGCCAGCAGCCGCGGUAAUACGAAGGGAGCUAGCGUUGUUCGGAAUCACUGGGCGUAAAGCGCACGUAGGCGGAUGUGUCAGUCAGGGGUGAAAUCCCGGAGCUCAACUUCGGAACUGCCCUUGAUACAGCACGUCUUGAGUCCGAGAGAGGUGAGUGGAAUUCCUAGUGUAGAGGUGAAAUUCGUAGAUAUUAGGAAGAACACCGGUGGCGAAGGCGGCUCACUGGCUCGGUACUGACGCUGAGGUGCGAAAGCGUGGGGAGCAAAC
rnacentral:rRNA from 1 species